rnacentral:lncRNA from 12 species
AUGCCCCACACCCAAUCAACUUGGCCCUGGGCAAGUGAAGCUCUGAUGCAGUUUCCAAUAACAGUAGGAUGGGAUAGGCUAAGAAGAGCUCGACACCUCAUCAUGAGUCACCUAGAAAUAUUUAUAGGACAUCAGGUCUCUGCUUCCUGUUCCCUCAAAGCCCGUGUUCUUCAUCACCCUGUCAUCCCCGCCGUGCUUCGUCGAUGCUACGGUCCUAUUGACUUCACUGAGACAGAAUUACUCGAAGUUGCCAUAUGUGUCUGCCUUUGUGAUUUGUCCAGUUUGUAG